rnacentral:piRNA from 1 species
UAACAAAGGUUGAGAUGAAGAUGCAUAUGU